rnacentral:sRNA from 1 species
AAGGUUCGACUCGAGCGAAGCGAGAGAACGUUGCCGCAGGCAAUGGCCCGAAGGCGAGGCGCUUUAGCGCCAAGUAAUCCUUCCCCCACCACUG